AUGUUUCCCUUUUUACUGUUAUUUCAAAAAAUCACCACUGCAAAACCGUUCAAGUUAUCCAAAAUCCAUUCCCAAUUUAAGUUCCUCAUGUUAACUCUCUCUCUGUCUCUCUCUGUCUCUCUCUCUCUGUCAGCUAGGGCCUCCACGCCCCCACCCCCCUCCCCCUCCCCCUCCCCUCCCCCUCCCUUCACUCACACAGAGAGAGUGGCCUCAGAGUGAGAUCAGAUGUCUGACAGUUGUUUAAUUUUCUGUUAUCCAUACAGUGUUGUAAAAUCGUGAAACAUUGCUUUUUUCCUCAGAAUGAUAUGUUCUCUGUAUGAAAAAUGGUUUUAUUUAUGUUUACUUUUUUACUGUUAUUUCAAUAAAUCACUAUGGCAAAACCGUUCAAGCUAUCCAAACUACAUUCGCAAUUUAAGUUCCUCAAUGUUUUGGCAUCAUGUAGAAAAAGUUUGGGUGUGUAUAGUAUAAUUUCCUCUCAGGAGUAUGCAUUAAUUCACAGCCUAUAUUUUCCAAAAUCCACAUUUAAACCAAAUACCCGACUUCCUGUUGGUCGUAGCUGAUGACUGUAAAUUAGAAAGUUGUCCGUCUUGAUAAGAACAAUUUAUGUACUGAGUUUGGUGUCUGUAGCUAAAACUAAUCCCCCCACUUUUGACAAAAGGUGGCGCUAUAGAGUGCCUCCACCACACACUUUUAUGUGAUUUUGCCAGUGUCUAGCUAUCAUUAAUACUGAUAUGUGUUUUGAGUUUCAUGUAAUUCUGAGCAUGUUAAUUUCCUCAAAAUCACCAGAACAGAAUAUUCAAGUUUGACACGUUGCCAUGGCAACAUUAUAUUAGAUAUCAAUAUCCCCACAACAGAUUUACAUCGGCCAUGUUUUGUCAUUAUUCUGAUGAAGUUUCAAGCAAAUCAAGUAAAAAUAAGAUGCUCCUAAUAGUAACAUGUAUAGCGAUCGGCAUCAUACAACAACAAUCCGAUGAAGUUUGAUCAAGCUCAGGCGAUGUAUGUGGAUGUUAUUAGACAUUUCCUGUUUCUCAUUUUUUGCCCUAAUUUCAACGCCUCGCCACGGGCAAACCGUUCGAGAUAUCAAAAAUCCCCUGGCAAUUUUGCAUCCCCAAUGUCUUGACAUCAUGUUCACUGAGUUUCGAGGCAAACGGUUGAAAGUCCUCAGAGGAGUAUAUCAAAUUCCAGAUCAUGCUUUUUUUUAAACAGCCUUGAAUAACUCACUUCGUGUUGGGCGGAGCCUAUGACAUAGAGCGCGAAAGUUGUUCGGCUCAAUGAGAUCUAUAAGUGUACAGAGUUUCAUAUAAAUACAUGCAAGUAUGUGUGAGCUAUGGUUCAAGAUUUCUGAAUUUGUUCCAGGGGGCACUGUAGAGUCCCUGUGCCACACCCGGGUCCCAGCCAAGAGUUUUUGAGUAUGUUAAGGCCCCCCAAAACCCCGGAAAGUUUAAGGAAAAAUAAAAAAAAAAUAAAAGCUGCAAGCAGCGAUGAAUGGGCCCUCGCACCCGGGCUCACCGCCACUGGGUGGCUUUAGUAAAACAGCUAACGGUGAGAAAUAUGCGUUUAAUGUGGUAAAUAUAAGAGGAAUAUGUCAAAGGCAUUUAUAUGUGCCAAUCUUGCUGCUGCCAGCUGGUGACGCUAUGACUAUAACUGGAUUUUGUCAUGUAGAUUUCUUCAGUUCAGCACUUUUAUCAAGCAUAUGAAAUUUAGUGCAGAUUGAACAUGAAAUGAUUGAGUUAGUAAAAAGCAUGAUAUGUCCUAUUGCCAACAGGUGGCACAAUGAUUAUAACUGAACAUUGGCCUUUAGAUGUCUUCAGGCCAUGACUCUUUCCAAAUAUCUGAAGUUUGGUGCACAUUGGACAUUGCAUGUUUAAGUUAGUGUAAAACAAGCCAUUUCUUGUUGCCAGCAGGUGGCGCUAUGAUUAUAGUGGAAUAUUGACCUUCAGAUGUGUUCAGGCCAAGACUCUUUUAGAACAUGUGAAGUUAGGGGAAGAUCGGACAUCUUAUGCCUGAGUUACAACAACUUCUAUUCCCAUGGCGAGACAUCGAACUUUGUCACGGUGCCAUGGACACACCCUUUAAUGAAAACUCAAGAUGUUCACAAUUUAACAUCGCAAAGGCCUUUAGAUUAGACUGACCAAAAAAAAAUUAAUAAAGUGUCAUAAAAUUUCUAGGAGUAGUUAAUUACAGCGUAAAACAUGUCACUUCCUGUUGCCAGCAGG
rnacentral:lncRNA from 1 species